GACAGAGGUCCCAAGCGUUAGGCGGAAUCACUGGGCUUAAAGCGUGUGUAGGCGGAUUUGUAAGUACCUUGUGAAAUCCCACAGCUUAACUGUGGGACUGCUUGGUAUACUGCUUAUCUUGGGCCAUCUAGGGGCGAGCGGAACAAACGGUGGAGCGGUGAAAUGCGUAGAUAUCGUUUGGAACGCCAAUGGUGAAAACAGCUCGCUGGGGAUGUGCCGACGCUGAGACACGAAAGCCAGGGGAGCAAACGG
rnacentral:rRNA from 1 species